rnacentral:rRNA from 1 species
UACGUAGGGUGCGAGCGUUGUCCGGAAUUAUUGGGCGUAAAGAGCUCGUAGGCGGUCUGUCGCGUCGAUCGUGAAAACUUGGGGCUUAACCCUGAGCUUGCGGUCGAUACGGGCAUGACUGGAGUUCGGCAGGGGAGACUGGAAUUCCUGGUGUAGCGGUGAAAUGCGCAGAUAUCAGGAGGAACACCGGUGGCGAAAGCGGCUCACUGGCCCGAUACUGACGCUGAGGCACGAAAGCGUGGGGAGCAAACAGG